CGGCGGCUCUGCUGGCAGCAGCCGGGCUGGCGGGCUCGGCGCUCCCCCGAGCCGCAGCUCCCCGGCCGGGCCGUUCCCGGGGGAGCGGAGGGGUAUGCCCGCCGCCUCCCAUCGCUCCUCUCGCCGCGCCGCACCGGCGGCGGAGGUUUCACUUCAGGAUAGCUCUUCUCUGGACCUGUGGACUGAAGAUUCAUUGGUGGCUGGAGCGCAUUAAGUGAACCCCUGGAGCACAUCUUCUGGUUUGGUUUUAUUCAAAAGGAGUCCAGCUUGCUUUCUGAAACUCGUGUCAAGUUAUAAACCACAGCACAGUAUCAGUCCAGAUGAUCAGGAGAUUUACUUCUAAAAUACACUGUUCAUCUGAACUUCAGUGCUACUCUAGAGGCAUCCUUAGUGUGCAAGUCUUGCUGGACUUGCGCGUUUUAAGUUCUCAAAGGCAAGUUACUCUGUGCGGAGCUCCAGAGCUUGACUGGUGACAUACCCGUGCACACCCUUGUGUGUUGUGAUCAGCCUCUGAUAGGAAGAGUUUGGGGCUGUCUAAGCCUUAGGCAGUCUGUCCCCUACUUUUCUAACUGCACCUCCUCCUACGACUUAACAGGAACUCACUCCUUGGGUCACCUCUGUGUCACUAAUAAAGCACCACAGACAUUAACACUCGCCGAACAUAACUUGAUAACCACCAUGCACUGUUUGCCUUUUAGUCACAUGUAUUUAAACAGCCUCCAGGGUCACAGCAUCCUCAAAACUUUUUAAAAACUGAAAAACUACCCAGGCUUUUUGGAGCCCCAUUUGAACGCUCUUCAGUUCUGCUCUCCACUCUUCCAUAGAAAUCUCAGCAAAGCUCACGGAAAAUCUUAACCUCAUACAAAGAAAAACUUUCACUCAGCCUUGUAAGCCAAGGUGAGAGUCUAAAUGAAGCAGAAUGUAUAAACACUCUUGUUCCCCAUUUUUUUUUCUUUCAGUCAAGAAAAUCUCAAGGCAGGCUAAACUAACAUGCCAGGCUCAGCCAAGCUUCUUCCUGGUCCCAGGCUCUUCUUUAUUACGCAAUUCUAGACCUUUGAAAGGAAAAGUAACUCUUUUGUGGGUGGGUUCUUUGUGCCUGUGUCCUUUCUAAAGAAGUAUCUGUUGAAUCUCUGGACAGUAUUAUAAUAAGGGCUAAUUAGAUUGUAGGCUGCCAUUAGUCUUUAUGUGCUACUGUGGACUUUAUACUCCCUGUCUAUUGAGAGGAAAGCAGCAAGGUCUUUUGUGACUGAUUGAAAUGGGUUUGCAGUAGAUUUUAUUUUCCUUUGGAUUUGGUCUUAAUUUUUUUCAGCAAAGUAAAAAUGAGACGUUUACUAAUUUGCCCUUUAUAUUGCUAUAUGAAUGCUAUAUUGGUACUUUGUAAAAUAUUUACAUUUCAGAUUUUUGAUUAAAUGCAUAAGUCAUAAUAAGGUAGACUAUAAAUAUGUAAAAUACAAUAUUCAGUGCUAGCCUGUGAUUUUUCAGAUCCUGAUGUUUAAAUAAUUUUUGAAUGUAAAUUGUGAAAAACCUCAACUGAAUUUUCAUAAGUCACAUAGUAUAAGUUUAUUUGAAAGUGGGACUUUGACACAGGUCAUACUUGUCAUUCAGUAGAGAUGAGAAACGGCUUUAGAAAGGAGAGAGAGUCCAAAGCACUGGUGUGUCUGGGAUGGGAGAUGUUAAUAAAUGCUACCUACUACGGGGGGGCUGGGGGGGGGGGGGCAAGAUGCCUAAAAAUCUGUCAGAGAACUGAGUGGAAAAAAGAACUAAAAAGAUGGGUUUCCCAUCCAACUGUUAAUGUAAAAUGACUAGCAUGAUGGUUUUGCUACUUGGCAUCUUGGCAGAAUAAAGUGUAAUAUCUUGGA